CCUGCACCCCCUACUUACCAGCAUGGAGUCUGGGUCCAGCUUCCUGCUUCAGUGGGUGGGGACUGCCCAAAUCACUGAAGCUCUCCAAAUCUUUUCCAAAUCGAUUCAGACCUUUAAAUUGGUCCCCUGAUUCAAUUUGGAUUCAGAGAUUUGGCUGUCAAAUUGGGCCAAAUCUCCUCUGAAUCCUUUUUCCAUGACUUAGUUGAGAGAAGAGGACUUGCUUUGGGAGAUGAGUGGCAGCCGUCCUCACACAGUGGCCAGCCCAGCAGAGUUGAUGUUUCAUGAUCUUUGCCCCAUUGCAGGUUAUGGUAGCUUCAGAGAGGAUGCUGGUAUUGGUGCGGUGGUCUUUCCAGCUCCGACUUCCAGAGGCAAUGCUGAUGGAACUGUUCCAGGUGCUUAAGAUGACUUUGAUACAUCACCCACAUCUCACACCCGUAGAGGAGCAUGGGGAUAACCAUUGCAUUGUAGACCAGCAUCUCAGUUUCCGUCUGCAGAUCUUGGUCAUCAAAGACACAGCAAAGCAGCUUUCCAAAGGAUACACUGGCACAGUGAAUCCUAUGUUCAAUUUUUACAUCAAGACUGGCUGGCUGGGAAAGGUGACUGCCAAGGUAUGGGAAACUGAAAAUGUUCUGCAGGGAAAAAGCUAAAGAAAAAGUGGACCUGAGUUAGGAUAAAAGCUCUAAGAAGAGACAUUCUCUUCAGAGGCUGUUUAUUUCUAUCUGCCUCUGGGUUUCCCCACAAAUGUUCACCAUAGGGCCUAUUCCUUCAAAGACAGUGCGUGCACAACUCCCACUGAGGUCACACACACUUCUUAGCCAAGGGGUCUGCUGAGCUUCUCUAAAGUAUGCCCUACCCAGUAUCGAUACAGUUGUGAACGCCAUGGUAUGGGUUCCCUGCAUACGUGUUUUCUUUUCAGGGCAGCAGGCAGGUGCAUAUGCAAGCUUUCUGAGAACACAGUAUCCCUGACUAAGCCUAGAGGCGUGAAUGAACUCAGUGGUCAAGGCAACUCACUGGAUCUACCUUCUUGGCAGUCGUCAUGUUUCCUGGGAAUGUAUCAAAAUAAUCUAUUGGAAACACAUGAUCUGCUUUUUUCCCCCUUUUCUUCUUUUGUAAAGAGAGGGAGAAAUGAAACCAUAUGUUUUGGGAGGCCAGGAACAGAUUCCAGGAAAGUUUUGUUCUCAGUUAACUUGAAACAUUUUGCUGGCACGUUUUCAUUGAGUAUGUGCGUUGUUGUUUUUUUCUUUUUAAUAGGUCACCAUAUUUCUCUAACUGCUUUUCAAGUAAAUAUAUUCCCAAAGAUAUGUUUAAAGGUGCCAGAGAGUUCCCAGAGCUAAACUGAAACCCUCCUCCUUUUUUUUUGGCUAGGGGCUUCUGGGAGAUGAGACUUUAUCUGUAUCUUGGGAGCUAGGUUUCUUCUGAGAAUCCCUUUCUUUCUUCUGCUUUUUUUCCUAGCUAGGUUGAGUUUUCCUGUCCUCAAACUUCCCCAGAGAGCUUAGAUUACUCUUGUCAAACUCUCCAAGCUUCUAACUGCAGGAGGACUCAAACCCUGCCAGGAUUUGAGCUUUCCCUGGCAAACAUGCCUCGUAUUUAGGAGUCAGCUUUGACUCCAGUGGUUUGUGUGUUUGCCACUACGCUCUAAACUUCCUCCAGCUGCACAGAAGACCUAGAGGCUGUGCACACAUACAGUCUCGCUGGGAAAGCUUGGGUUCAGACUGCAUUUUGUAAAUGCCUGUUUCAGCCCCUUUGCAGCUUGCUGUGGAGAACAAUAGUUUCAGAAGGUGAUUUUGAGCUUAAAAAAGACCAUGUAAAAAUAGCACCCCUUUACUUCAGUCCUGCUCCAGGCCUGGCUCCAGUCUCCUCCUUUUACUGCAGUAGUAGAAGCUCAAUACUCCUCUUGCUUUUGCCAGCUCUGUGGAGCUACCACAGCUAUGGGAGGGUCUGUUUACACUGCAGCCUCUGCUGCGAUGGCUGCUGGCAUUGCUGUAUGAGCUCUGGAUGAUCUAGCUGGUUAUAGCUAGCUAUACAGCAUGGUAUAUUCGGCAUGGGCUGCAAAACCUGCUGAGAAGCAGGGUAAAUGCAUGGGUUGCCGUCCUGUAUUCUACCACAGCUACAGAGCCGGCAGUACCCGACCUAGCUAGUUUAGAGCUGGUUUGGUUAUGUCCACGUGAGCUGCUGGCACAGUAGUGAGUCCAGUGGGGCCAUUCAGAUUCAGUGCCUACCUUGUGCAUCAUUAACUGCAUUGUUGAUCAGGUUGCAGGCACAGGGUCAGCUUGUGCCUUUGUUUUCACCUGUGCAAGAUCUUUGCAGUAGUAGUUGAAGGCAGUGGAGUUGUCUGGGUUAAUUGAGGGCAAAAUGUGCAAGCCGAUAACAUGGACUGGUUUAAAAUGAAGGCAGAAUCAGAUCUAGACAGAGGACAAAAUCUUACCUGACCUGAAGAGUGAAUGCGAUAUGGGAUCCCUAGUACACAAUUCACAUGGACCCUUAUCAUGUUAUUCAGGAGUCCUUUACAAGAGAGCACUGAAUUUUCAUCUUUUCUUGUUCUUUCCAUUUUGAUUCAGAGCCUCUUCUGGCUUCAGAUUAAUCCCUUGUGUCCUGUGCCAUUUUCUCACACAAAUGUGUGCCCCUAAAUACAUACAGAGAUGUUCACUAAACUGCCUACAAGGAGCAUCUGUACCACCUUUCACUACCUGCCAGAUAGGGAGGACUGGUUUCAAUAUCUUCGGAGGGAUGGUCAAGUACUUGGUCAAACAGAGAGUCAUAAUAAAGGUGUCUCUAGUCUGGGGCA
ensembl:lncRNA